rnacentral:lncRNA from 1 species
AUGUAACGCCUAAAAAUCUAAAGGGGGACCUAGGCCUAGGGGAUACAGAAGCGUCGUUCACAACAAUCCCCACCCCCAGAACUUCACCUUCUUCAAAAGACCCUCCCCCCUAAAGCUUCGCCUUCUCCGAACCCCCCUCCCCACCACGGACUGAUCUUCCUCAGUCGCUGGAUACCAGAAAACGACCCCCUCCCCGAAACUUCCAGCUUGUUUCUGUCCAAACGACCCCUUCGAUUUUUCUGCCUCACCACCUCGUCGUCUCUCAGCACACCCAUCAAAACUAGACCUAAUGCCUAAGAUGAUUUCCGGCGCCGAUUGAAGUUCCAUCCGUUCGAGGUUGCGAAUCCGGUUCGAGUUCGAAAUUUCGUCUUUUGGCACUCCAUUAUGACUGUGUAAUUGCUGAAAUUUUAGUUGAAUGAAGCUUUAAUUUCAGAUGCUCUGAAUUGCCGAUUUGUUUGCUCGGCCAAUCGAUUUUUAAUUUUGGUUCGUAUAUGCUUCGUCGCCAUUAAUCUUAAUUAGCAUCGUUUGAACUGAUGACUGAAUAGUUAGCGUCUUUUCCACCACUGCUUCUUCUUCGCCGGUCGAAAUUCCAGCAAGCUCGAACUCUAAGCAUCUCAGGUCUUUCUUUUCUCUCUCGUAUUUCAAUAUACUCACUGGUACUUCUUCCCUUCUGCCCGCUGCCCAGAUUUCUGCUACAUUUUUAUUCUUGUUGGGUUAAUCUCCUGUCGAGAUUUUUGUUGUUUUUGAGAGUGUAACUGCUAAUGGCUAUUGUUGGGUGAUUAUUGAAUCCCAAUUUGAUGGUUAAAUUUUGGCUAAGGUAUAAAUUUAUGGGGGUUUAGAGAAACGAAGUUUCAGUUAUGUACAUAAGGUGUUUGUGAAAACGAUUGACCGAAUUCAAUCAACAUGGAUUCUUUGAGUUUGAUUUUUGCGUAAUAUGUGGUGUUUUGAAGCUUAAUUCUUGUUGAUUUCUCACUGUUAAUGUACUGUAAUUGAGGUCGAACUUUGAGUUUGUGUUGAUCCCUGUUUAAUCUAUGUUAAAUUGUGUGCAAAGUUGAGCAUUUGAGUCAGAUUAAAUGAGCUAAUUGUGUGCCUGAUAACAUGUGAUUGUUAUUCACUCAUUUGUCGGAAAAUGAUUAAAACCUAUUAUCGUUGUUUUCGUUUACUUGAUUUGCUUUCAUGUUGUGGCUAUUAUUUUUGCAAUAUUGAAGCAUAUUUUAAUGUUGUCAACAUUCAAUGUGGAUUUGAAGUUCGAUUGGUAUUGUUUUGAGCAAUUGAUUCGUUGGGGUUGGGUUAAGGUCAUGGCCUGACUAUCAAUUUCAUUUGAAUAAGUUGCAUAAAUCAUAUGUCUUUCCACAUUCUUUUCCACAAAGACCUUUUCAGUGAACCUCAAAGUAGUGUAGGCUUAAUUAUGGACACCGUAGUUUUUUAGGUCGGGGUGUGCCAUCAAUUGAAUUUUUCAUGGUCCUCGCAAAUUUGAAAGUGCGUAGUUGCUUUAGGCGCGCUAUUUUAAAAAUUACCUUCCUGAGCUCGGGUGUGCAUUUGUGUGACCCAAAUCCAACACUCAACAAUGUUAGAUAAAAUAUGUCGGGGACCGCGGGUGCAUUCAUGUGACGUGGUUCAAGACGUGUUUUAAAUAACGUUGAAAUCUUCCUGAAAAAAUAAUUCAGUAAAAACGGUUAUAAAGUUAAAAUUGCACCAUAGGCUAAAACAUGUACUAAAAUAAAGUAAAUAGGUCAAUUAUAAUAGUUGAGCGAUCGUGCUAGAACCACGGAACUCGGGAAUGCCUAAUACCUUCUCCCGGGUUAACAGAAUUCCUUACCCGGAUUUCUGUGUUCGAGGACUGUAAUACAGAGUCAAUCUUUUCCUCGAUUCGGGAUUUGAACCGGUGACUUGAGACACCAUAAAAUUAUCCCAAGCGGCGACUCUGAAUUUUUUUUUAAUAAAAUGAUCCCGUUUCGAUUGUCACUUUAAGUUGGAAAAAACUCUCUUAUAUGUCCCCUUCCGGGGUAGUAAAAAGGAGGUGUGACAGCUAGUAUGUUUCCUUGAUUCUUUGAUUUUUUUUUCUAUUGAUUUCAAAAAUAUAUAUUCUGUUCUAUUCUUUGAUUUUUUUUUCCGAUUGAUUUCAAAGGCGGAACUACUGUUUCUUUGAAUUUUCGUUCUAAAAGAUGGAGGCCGAUUGAAUCUCGGAUCAGUCCGUUCGUUGGUUCCAAGCCGCUGUUCGCUAUUUCUGUUCAGGCUCUUGUAAUUGUUUCCUCGCGUGAACUUUGGAACCAAAACAUGUGUAGUCGCUGAUUUUUUUUGUCUCUAAUGUCAGGUUCACUUCCUACCCUUAUCUUCUAAUUCCUUUUUCUGACUACAUCUCGGUUAAUUUAAGCGCCUGUUAAACCAUCAAAACAGAAUAUUUUUAAAGGUGUGUUUACUUUGAGUACUUUUCUGUAAAUAAUUAUUGCUGAAAAAGAUGUUAGUUCCAGUUGUGUGCUAUUGUAGUAGAAGUUGAAAAUUAAUGGAGUAUCUCAUGGGCCAUGGCGAUGAAACAACAGAAAGUGACAAUGACUUUAAAAUAAAGGUCCGACGUCUCUUGAGAAAUAUCAGUUGAAAAGUUGUGGCUUAAACAUAGAUUAGAUGAUGAAGGUGGUGUUUUGAUACUCUGUGGCUGUGUCAUGAUUUCGUUCACUAGUCUUCUUUACUUUCAUUUGUUUAUUUCGUUUGAAAUUGGUUUGUUAAAUUUGUAAGGAUAUUGAGUUGCUUUCUAGUUUUUAAGAGUUAUUAAUUGUGUACACAUGUAUUAUGAAUAUCCGUAGUUCACUUAGUUGAAUGACUUCUCCUUUAAUAAAAUUGUGGUGUGUCAUACAAUCAUCUAGUCUAUAACCCUCAUUUAUUUAAUAUUUGAAUCCUUAGAAAUCGAGGCAAGCCAUUUAGUAGAAUUUUUC